CUGAAGUCUUGGUGCAGGAAGGAGGGUUUUUAGAGCACUGGGCCGAUUUUGCACAUGGGUACAACCUGUAUAGUCAUGAUGGAUUGCACCUAAACGGAAGAGGGUCUGCUGUGCUGGGGGAUAGGAUGGCUAGAAGGUUGGAGGAGAUUUUAAACUAGUGGUAGGGGGGGGAGGGUCAAAGCAACCUAGAAAAUGGAGAUAGGGUGGAAAGAGAUAGCUCAGAACAAAGGGGGUGGAGAUGGGGGGAGGGGAAAGCUCAGAAAUGUAUGCUUACUAAUGCAAGGAGCCUAUAUAACAAAAUGGGGAAAC